rnacentral:rRNA from 1 species
AGGACAAACGCUGGCGGCGUGCCUAAGACAUGCAAGUCGGACGGGAGGCUUCGGCCUCUAGUGGCGGACGGGUGAGGAGCGCGUGGAUGACCUGCCCCGUGAUGGGGGAUACCAGCCAGAAAUGGCUGUUAAGACCGCAUGAGACCCACUGGUGCGAGUUGGUGGGGGAAAGCCGCGAGGCGUCAUGGGAGGGGUCCGCGUCGGAUUAGCUAGUUGGUGGGGUAAAAGCCUACCAAGGCGACGAUCCGU